UACGUAGGGGGCAAGCGUUGUCCGGAUUUAUUGGGCGUAAAGAGCGUGUAGGCGGUCAGGUAGGUCCGUUGUGAAAACUCGAGGCUCAACCUCGAGACGCCGAUGGAAACCAUCUGACUAGAGUCCGGAAGAGGAGAGUGGAAUUCCUGGUGUAGCGGUGAAAUGCGCAGAUAUCAGGAGGAACACCGGUGGCGAAGGCGGGUCUCUGGGCCGAAACUGACGCUGAGGAGCGAAAGCGUGGGGAGCGAACAGG
rnacentral:rRNA from 1 species